AAUGUGUGGCUGUGCAUUAUUGCAUUUAUAAUGUGCUUGGUGGGAUUUUUUGGGUGGAGGCCAUAUGUGUUUUCAUAAUGGAGUUUUGUUUUCUAUGUAUGAUGAUAUUUAACCUUUCAGGAGCAAAAUAAGGAACAUGUGCUGGAGGUGUGUGUCAUCUCUGGUGCUUGGUGGCUCAAGCUAUGCGAGCAGGCUGCAUAGUUAAUUGUUUUUGCUGUGUAUUCAUACACCAGGCCACGUGAAAGAGUUCUCUCUGUCUGCUUUGAUCUGUUGCGUUGUGUGGUAGUGUCAAUACUGUGUCAAAAUGUUUUUUGUAAUGCCUCCUACUCAUUCACACAUUUUAUACACACACAAUCACAAAGUUUAGCAAUUAUUAAAAUAUUUGUGUCGGUGUGUCUUUAUAGUAAGUGAAUUUUUUACACCCAUGGUGAAUCAAUAACUGAGCAAGAAUUAUAGUACAGUACUCUAUUUUGACCUUAACAUGCAGAGGUCAGCUUAUCUUGUGUUUUUUCACAGGAAGAUUACUAAAAGAUGUGGCAUCAUAUGGUAUAAACGAUAUAUUUGCUAUUUUUUACAGUAUAAUCACAGUCAAGAGAUGUAAGCCUGGAUUUGUGCACCAUGCAGUGAGUGGUGAUAUAGAUGGCGCGGGUGGCAGCAUCACUCCGCUAGUUGCUCCUCCGGGUAAACAACGCCCUGGUGACUCAGGUCGACGCCAUUUUGGUUGCACGGAAUAUAAUUGUCAAGAGCCUCAAGCGUCCCGUGAACUUAUACAGGAUACAAUAUAUUCUGGUGAUACAGCCCCGUGAAUGUAUACAGGAUACAAUAUAUUCUGGUGAUACAGCAGGGAGGUUUUAAUCUUUCUGACUCGCCCAUGAUGUACAGCAACAGUAGAACAGGAGCUGCUGUGCACCGGCCUAUUGCACAAUGCUUGAUGAUGAUGAUGAUGAUGAUGUAGGAGAUAUUGAAGAAGCUGUUGGUGAUAAUUAUGAAGUGGCAAUGGUGAGAUGACCUGGUGAAAUGAGAGAUGAACCCUCGUCCUCCCUGUGGUGAAAUGAGAGGAGAUGAUCCCUCGUCCUCCCCGUGGCGAGAUGACCUGGUGAAAUGAGAGAUUAACCCUCGUCCUCCCUGCGUCGCCUCAGUAGGAAGUUUCAAGGACCAACAACACAUCUCGGUAUGACAAGCUAAGACUCAACUAAACAAACUGAUGAAACACCUCUGACCUGUGGGACACACUUGUAUGUGAUGCCAUCAACAGCAACUGAUGAAACACCUCUGACCUGUGGGA